rnacentral:tRNA from 1 species
GCCCGUAUAGUACAGUGGCCAGUAUAUUGAGUUUUCACCUCAAAGAGCAGGGUUCAAUUCCCUGUACGGGUA